GACCUGUUGCAGAAUAUUAGGAAGUGGACAUGUUCACAUUCUCAAAUAUGAGAUAAAAGUUGGAAUCUAGGGGCUCCUGGGUUGGAAUCUAGGGGCUCAGUUGGUUAAGAGUCUGACUGCCGCUCAGAUCAAGAACUCACUGCUUGGGAGUUCGAGCCCCGUGUCAGGCUCGGCUGGCAGCUCGGAGUCUGGAGCCUGCUAAGGAUUUCUGCGUCUCCCUCUCACUCUGCCCCUGCCCUGCUGGUUCCGUCUCUCUCUCUCAAAAAUAAAUAAUCAUUAAAAAAAAUUGGAAUCUAAGUCAUUACUUUCAGCUGAUUUACUUAAGCAAAAGAGUUCACCGGAGUCUGUCCUACUUCAGAGCAUUGAAGCAAUAUAACCUGAGCUCGAAGUUUCAUUUCAGUCAAUUUAAAUUCUUUGUGACCUGUGGAAGACCACUGAGAGUUUAAUCAGUGCUUAGCAAACGCCUACACAUUUUCUAAGGUGCCUUAGUGGAUGUAAAGGUGAAUAAGAUAGUUUUCCCUCAAGGACUUGUGGCAAAGAAGAAGAUAAUGUAUACCAUAUUCUGUUGCUGUGUGUUACUUGUGUCUACUCUUUAAAAAAAGUUUUUUUUAUGUUUAUUUAUUUAUUUUGAGAGAGAGACAGAGUGACUAGGGGAGGGGCAGAGAGAGAGGAGAGAGAGAGAGAGAGAGAGAGAAACCCAGGUGGCCUCCGCACUGCCAGCACAGAACCCAGUGUGGGGUUGAACUCACAAAACCAUGAGAUAAAGACCUGAGCUGAAAUCAAGAGUCAGAUGCUUAAUUGACUGAGCCACCCAGGCACCCCUAUUUGUGUCCACUGUUUAAGGCAUUUCAAACGAAGAUUCUGUGGGGAUCAAAGUAGAGACAGAGAGAGAGACCUCUCAUUCAAUUGUAGUAAAUGAUCACAGGAUUUAAUGAAGAGGGUCACCUGGAUGGCCCAGUAGAGCAUCUGACUCUUGAUUGCAGUGUUGUGAGUUCAAGCCCCAUGUUGGGUAUGGAGCCUACUUAAAAAAAAAAUGUUUUUUAAAUGAAGAGAUGACAUUGAGUUGAAUCUUGAAUAAAAAUGAAGGAUUUUGGUAGGUGGCAGUGGGAAAAGGUACCAUUGCAAACAGUCGGGAGGACUUGAGCACACGGUAGUAGAACACUGUUGGAGCUGCUGUUAGGUUCUUUUGCUGUUAUGGCUCUUCUCAGCCUUAAUAAUAUGCAAUAAUUAUUUUGUCUUUGAUACGAACUUUUAGAAAUUGAUUAUGUGUUUCUCUUUUACUCUAUAAUAGACUUGAAUUUUACUUGGGCUCUUCAAAAAAAAUUUUUUUUGAUGUUUGUUUAUUUUUGACAGAGAGAGACAGAGCAUGAGCAGGGGAGGGGCAGAGAGAGAGGGAGGCACAGAAUCUGAAAGCAGGCUCCAGGCUCUGAGCUGUCAGCACAGAGCGCAAUGCGGGGCUCGAAGUCACAGACCGCGAGAUCAUGACCUGAGCUGAAGUCGGGUGCUGAACCGACUGAGCCACCCAGGCGCCCCUAGGGCUCUUUAAUAAUGGGGUGCUAGACAAACUAAACAAUGAGUUCAUCUAACGUAAAGCCUAAUACUCCCUCUUUUCUCCUAAGUAUGAUCUUUAGCAGAUUAAGUUGGACUCAAUAGGGAAUGUUUACAGGAGACUUGUAUCCAGUUUGGUUGUAGUGAAGGAUAUGUAUUGGGCAAUAGUAGAAUAUAAGUCUAUAGAAGUAGGUUGAGGGUAUAUAAAUGGAAGGUAGAAAAGCAGAAAAAUAGUAUUUUUUGAGUUGCCUUCUAUAUUCUCUCUUUGUUCUUUAAGCAGUUAGGUCAUUAUAAAAAGGUAUAUACAGUGUGUAUAUAUAUAUUAUAUAUAUUAUACAUAUAUAUAAUAUAUAUAUUUAAAGUUUAUUUGUUUAUUUUGAGAGAGAUUGAGUGGGGGAGAGGCAGAGAAAGCCGGGGACAGAGCAUCUGAAGCAGGCUCCAUGCUGACAGCAGAGAGCCCGAUGUGGGGCUUGAACUCAUGAACUGCGAGGUCAUGAGCUGAGCCAAAGUUGGACACUUAACCAACUGAACCACCCAGGCACUCUCAAAAAGGUAUAUUUAUUUCAGAUAUACCCCACAUGGUUUAAUAACUUAUAAAAACGUUUGUAGUUAAAACUUUUAUAAAUAAAAUCCUAUUUUAAAUCUACAGGAAAGUUAGCUGAAAGGGAUCUUCGUAAAGGUUUUUGGAAAGAAAAUAAUGCUCUGCUAAUUUAUUGGCAUUGAUACUAGAAUUUGGCCUGCUAAAAAUCUUUAAGGGGUGCAGCAUUACACUUAUUCUUUCAUUAUUUGGGAUUUUCUUUUCUCUUUUUAACUUAAAAUGAGUCAUGGUAUUGUAUUGGGGAUUUUGAAAAAUGUGGAAUGUCUGUAGAAGUAAUUUAAUGCCAUUAUAUACCCUUUAAGUUUUACAAAAAGCAAAACACUGUUGAGUAGUAUUGGAAUCGAGUAGCCAGAGUUUAGAGGUUUUGAUCUUUGAGCAUGAUCUACUUGUACUGCCUUCUUAAGUUCUAGAUAGACCAUGUGUGAGAAGUUCCAUAUUUUACUUUCUCUUUUUUUGUCAAUAAAAUCUUUAGCAGAUUAAAUUGAUCUCUUUCUUCUUAGAGCAAAGAAGGGUGGAGGGGAGACAUUCGUUAGCUCAGAGAGGUAGCUCUUCUCAGCACUUAGGUUCUAUUACAUGUUUUAUAGGACCCACUUGGAGCUCUGUUAGGUUAUUAAGUGUUCUUACACAAAGUGUUGGAGAAAAUGCCAUUGAACCAUGGUUCACUGACUUUUGGGACAGACAGACUUGGUGUAGGUUGAUACUGGUUUUUUGAUUUUUGUUUGUUUUUGAUACUGUUUUUCCCUUGUAUAACUGGCUUUGUCUAAAACACUUAAACUGAGGCUUAUAUAAGAUGAAUAGGUGACGCAUGGUAGGUUUUCACUAAGUAGUAGCAGUUCUGCAGUAAUUGUUACUUUUUUUUAAUGUUUUAUUUUUAAUUUUUUUUUUUAAUUUUUGAGAGAGGGUAUGAGCAGGGGAGGUGCAGAGAGAGGGAGACAGAGGAUUGGAAGUGGCUCCUUGCUGACAGCAGAGAGCCCAAUGCAGGGGCUCAAACUCACGAACCCAUGAGAUCAUGACUUGAGCCAAAGUCAGAAGCUCAACCAACUGAGCCAUCAAGGCACCCCUGAUUAGUUUUGAUAUGAGCCUUUGGAAACUGAUUACGUGUUUUCCCUUUUGCCCUGUGAUACAGUAGAGCCUUGAACAGCAUGGAUUUGAACUGUGUGGGUCCACUUAGACACAAGGUUUUGUUUUGUUUUAUAAAUAUAGUACAGUGCUGUAAAUAUAUUUUCCCUUCCUUAUGAUUUUCUUUAUAACAUUUUAUUUUUUCUAGCUUCCUUUAUUGUAGGGAUGCAGUAUAUAAUACAUAUAUAACAUAUAAAAUAUGUGUUAAUUGUUUAUGUUAUGGGUAAGGCUUCUAGUCAAAAGUGAGCUAUUAGUAGUUAAGUGUUUGGGAGUCAAAAGUUGCACUCAGAUUUUCUACUGUGUGAGGUGGGGAUUGUUGGCAUGCCUGACCUCCAUGUUCUUUAAGGGUCAGUGUAGAUUUGAAUGUUACCAGACUUACUUAUUUAUUGAUUUAUUUAGAGAGCAUGUGUGCACCAGUGGGGGAGGGGCAGAAAGAGAGGGAGAGAGAAUCCCAAGCACGCUGUCAGCACAGAGCCCUACGUGGGACUCAGUCUCACAAACUGAGAUCAUGACCUGAGCCGAAAUCACGAGUUGGACACUUAACCAACUGAGCCACCCAGGGGCCCCUUACCAGAUCUCUUUAAUAAUCAGAUGGUCAGAUAUUUUAUGAUGAAGAAUUUACCAAGCACAAAACCUAAUACUUCCCUACCAUUAUAAAAGAUACUUAAUAUGAGGUUAUUACAAAAAUCUUUCAGAAGUCCUGUACCAAGAGUGUUUCCCCCUGAGGUAACUCCUGCCAUUAUGGUUGGGCUGCUGUGCAUCAUUCCAUUAAUUUUCUGUGUAUUCAAACCCAAAUGCAUAGACUGUAGUUAAAGCAAUAAAAAGCAAAAGACAACCAUAUUCUCAUUUUGUUCCUUUUUAAACUUUUUACUAUAUAUAUUUUUUUUUUAAUUUUUUUUUUUUUUUUUUUUUACCAUUUAUUUAUUUUUGAGAGAGAGACAGCAUGAGCAGGGGAGGGGCAGAGAGAGAGGGAGACACAGAGACACAGAAUCUAAGCAAGCUCCAGGCUCCCAGCUGUCAGCAUAGAGCCUGACGUGGGUCUUGAACUCACAAAUUGUGAGAUCGUGACCUGAGCCAAAGUUGGACGCUUAACCAACUGAGCCACCCAGGUGCCCAUAUUGUAUAUAUAUAUUUAAAAUGUUUACUUAUUUAUUUUGAGAGAGAGCACGAGCAGAGGAAGAGCAGAGAGAGAGAGUGCGCGCAAGAGGGAGAAUCCCAGACAGGUUCUGACUUUGUCAGCCCAGCCCAGGGCUUGUUGCCCAAGCCCGGGGCUUGAACCUGUGUACUGUGAGAGCAUGACCUGAGCCAAAAUCAAGAGUCAGGCACUUAACCGAUUGAGUCAUCCAGGCUUCUUUAUUGUGUUUUUUAUAUAUGUAUUCCUGAUGUGGCUUUAGUUGUGUUUGAAUGUAACUUGGUUUUAAAGUAAAAGGAAUUUUUGAUUCAAUUUAAAACCUAAAAUUCAUUUCCAAUACCAUUAUCUUUUUCAUUACUACUAUGCCGUAUUAAAACUUAUUUGUGGGGGGCGCCUGGGUGGCUCAGUCGGUUGAGCGUCCGACUUCAGCUCAGGUCACGAUCUCAUGGCCUGUGAGUUCGAGCUCCGCGUAGGGCUCUGGGCUGAUGGCUCAGAGCCUGGAGCCUGCUUCUGAUUCUGUGUCUCCCUCUCUCUCUGCCCCUCCCCCGUUCAUGCUCUCUCUCUGUCCCAAAAAUAAAUAAACGUUAAAAAAAUUUUUUUUUUAAACUUAUUUGUGGCUCUGUUUAGUUACUUUUUCUCUUCCUUCCUUCCUCCCUUCCUCCCUUCCCUCCCUCUUCCUUCCUUCCUUCCUUUUUCUUUCUUUUUCUCUCUUUCUUUCUUUCUUUCUUUCUUUCUUUCUUUCUAAUUUUUAUUUAAGUAAUGUUUACAUCCAACAUGAGGUUCAAAUUCACAACCCUGAGAACAAGCCUGGUGCCCCUCAGUUGAGUUUUCAACGUGACCAGUUUUAUUGUCCAAAGAAUGAAAUAAGACAUAUGACCAUUUGUAAUAUUUCAGAACUGCGGUGAUGUCUGAGGAAAUGGCAGUUUUCCUGUGUUUCUUUAGUUUUGUUGGUAUAUUUUUAAAUAAGCCAGAAUUUAUUAAAAAUUCCGCAUAGUUAAAAAUCAAUUUCAAAGGGAGUCAAAAUUUUUGAUGAAUCUAAGUAAGAUGUUUCUUCUAUUUGCUUUCAGUGAAAAAGGGUUUAGAAACUUUCUGGUAAGGUUUAGAAAAUGCUAGAAAAGGGCAUAUUUCAUAUAACAGAAGAAUUAUAGGGCUUUGUUUGAAUACUAAAGAGUUUCCACCCCUACUUCCCUCCAAGGCAGGAAGUGAAUUCCUAAGUGAAAUUUGAAGAAAAGCAUGAAAGUGAUUUUUAGUUGUUACUUCAUAGUGUGAGUUUGGCACUUAUUAUUAAAUUUUGAUACUAUUAACCUUAGAAAUAACAAAUAAAAACUUUACUGCUAUUGGGAAUGGAAAUAAAUUGCAUUUCUGCCUUAUGGUUUUACAGGUAGUGGUGAGGAGUUUACAUAUGAGAUAUCCUUGAAAUAAACACUUUGAGUUUGAAUUUAAGGAAGAAUUAAUUUUGAUAACGGGGAACCACAUAGGAAUAUCUCAUCUAAUAUCAUUUAGACUGGUAGCUAACUAAAAAAGUCUGCAAUCUGAGUGCAGAUGACUUCUUUAGUUUCCUGAAGGAAUCUUUCUAAAUCAUUUAGGUAUUUAUUGAGCACCUACUAGAUAACUUGCACUGUUACGGAUCCAGAGUAAUUGCUAUGGAUCCAGAGUAAAUAAGAUACAUUCCCAGCUUUCAUAGAGUGUAUAAUUUAGUGGUAGAAAUAGUCAGUAAACAUGUAA